GAUAAUUUAAUAACUGUGUUACAGAUUUGAUGUCAUCCAUGAUAGGUCUAGUAUGAUACUGUAUAACAGGUCAAAGGUCAUUCAAGGGAGUCACCUUCUAAAUCUUGGUCAUCACAAAGCUUUAAAUAACAGGUGUUUUGUAAAUAUGAUGAUUUUUGGGACUGAUUAUGAAACAAAUGAUUUGAUUUUAGCCUUAAUGUAAUACCAAGGAUUAAUUAUUAAAGAUGAAGAUUUUGUGCUGUUUUUUAUAAUAAUUGCUGAGUGCUGUUGAGAAGAGCUGCUGUUGAGUCUGAUAUCAGUGUAAUGAAGCACUGUGGUACACUUUUGGUGGAGGAACUAAACUGACCAUCAGAACUGGUCCCGCAGUGAAGCCCUCCGUGUCUCUGCUGCCUCCCUCUUCUCUGCAGAUCUCUGGAGACUCAGCCGCACUGCUCUGUCUGCUCAGCUCUUACUCUCCACAGGGG